UGGCGGACGGGUGAGUAAUGUCUGGGAAACUGCCUGAUGGAGGGGGAUAACUACUGGAAACGGUAGCUAAUACCGCAUAACGUCGCAAGGCCAAAGAGGGGGACCUUCGGGCCUCUUGCCAUCGGAUGUGCCCAGAUGGGAUUAGCUUGUUGGUGGGGUAACGGCUCACCAAGGCGACGAUCCCUAGCUGGUCUGAGAGGAUGACCAGCCACACUGGAACUGAGACACGGUCCAGACUCCUACGGGAGGCAGCAUG
rnacentral:rRNA from 1 species